rnacentral:tRNA from 1 species
AAGAGGUUAGUUAAGCGGUUAUAACACUAUAUUUACACUCUAGGGACAGGGGUUCGAAUCCCCUACUUCUUA